UAGGGAAUCUUCNNNNNUGGACGAAAGUCUGACCGAGCAACGCCGCGUGAGUGAAGAAGGUUUUCGGAUCGUAAAGCUCUGUUGUAAGAGAAGAACGGGUGUGAGAGUGGAAAGUUCACACUGUGACGGUAUCUUACCAGAAAGGGACGGCUAACUACGUGCCAGCAGCCGCGGUAAUACGUAGGUCCCGAGCGUUGUCCGGAUUUAUUGGGCGUAAAGCGAGCGCAGGCGGUUAGAUAAGUCUGAAGUUAAAGGCUGUGGCUUAACCAUAGUACGCUUUGGAAACUGUUUAACUUGAGUGCAGAAGGGGAGAGUGGAAUUCCAUGUGUAGCGGUGAAAUGCGUAGAUAUAUGGAGGAACACCGGUGGCGAAAGCGGCUCUCUGGUCUGUAACUGACGCUGAGGCUCGAAAGCGUGGGGAGCGAACAGGAUUAGAUACCCUGGUAGUCCACGCCGUAAACGAUGAGUGCUAGGUGUUAGGCCCUUUCCGGGGCUUAGUGCCGCAGCUAACGCAUUAAGCACUCCGCCUGGGGAGUACGACCGCAAGGUUG
rnacentral:rRNA from 1 species